GCCACAAAUCUUUAUUCAACUAACUACAUUUGAGAUUAUUGCGCAUAUUUCUUCUACUUGGACUGAAUGAUAUAAAGAGAAAAGCAAAAUGAUAUAAUUCAUCCAAAGUAAGAAAAGCAGACAGAGAGUAAAAAGAAUCUGCCAACAACUGAAGAAACUAACAUUUAUAAAGUAAGAGAACACUAGAAAAAGCCAAUUCACUCGAUUGCUUUCUUGGAC
rnacentral:lncRNA from 1 species